rnacentral:rRNA from 1 species
GAUGAACGCUGGCGGCGUGCCUAAUACAUGCAAGUCGAACGAAACUUCUUUAUCACCGAGUGCUUGCACUCACCGAUAAAGAGUUGAGUGGCGAACGGGUGAGUAACACGUGGGCAACCUGCCCAAAAGAGGGGGAUAACACUUGGAAACAGGUGCUAAUACCGCAUAAUCAUAGUUACCGCAUGGUAACUAUGUAAAAGGUGGCUAUACUACCGCUUUUGGAUGGGCCCGCGGCGCAUUAGCUAGUUGGUAGGGUAAAGGCUUACCAAGGCAAUGAUGCGUAGCCGAAUUGAGAGGUUGAUCGGCCACAUUGGAACUGAGACACGGCCCAAACUCCUACGGGAGGCAGCAGUAGGGAAUCUUCCACAAUGGGCGAAAGCCUGAUGGAGCAACGCCGCGUGGGUGAAGAAGGUCUUCGGAUCGUAAAACCCUGUUGUUAGAGAAGAAAGUGAGUGAGAGUAACUGUUCACGUUUCGACGGUAUCUAACCAGAAAGCCACGGCUAACUACGUG